rnacentral:pre_miRNA from 1 species
GGCCCAAAUUUGAAGUAAAGUAGGUUAGUAAGAUUGCCCGACCCUACUAAAGUACUUACUUCAAGUUUGUGCCC